UACGUAGGGUGCGAGCGUUGUCCGGAAUUAUUGGGCGUAAAGAGCUUGUAGGCGGUUUGUCGCGUCUGCCGUGAAAAUUCGAGGCUCAACCUCGAACUUGCGGUGGGUACGGGCAGACUAGAGUGUGGUAGGGGAGACUGGAAUUCCUGGUGUAGCGGUGAAAUGCGCAGAUAUCAGGAGGAACACCGAUGGCGAAGGCGGCUCUCUGGGACGGUACUGACGCUGAGACGCGAAAGCGUGGGGAGCGAACAGG
rnacentral:rRNA from 1 species